AGGGCACCACCAGUAGUGGAGCCUGCGGCUUAAUUUGACUCAACACGGGGAAACUCACCCGGCCCGGACACCGGAAGGAUUGACAGAUUGAUAGCUCUUUCUUGAUUCGGUGGAUGGUGGUGCAUGGCCGUUCUUAGUUGGUGGAGCGAUCUGUCUGGUUAAUUCCGAUAACGAACGAGACUCUAGCCUACUAAAUAGACGUCGGGUUCUCUGCACUCGACGGUCUUCUUAGAGGGACAAGGUGCUUUUAGCACCGCGAAACAGAGCAAUAACAGGUCUGUGAUGCCCUUAGAUGUCCGGGGCCGCACGCGCGCUACACUGAAGGAAGCAGCGUGUAACAACCUUGUUCUAACGAACUGGGUAACCCGUGGAACUUCCUUCAUGAUUGGGAUAGGGGUUUGCAAUUGUGCCCCUUGAACGAGGAAUUCCCAGUAAACACUAGUCAUCAGCUAGUGCUGAUUACGUCCCUGCCCUUUGUACACACCGCCCGUCGCUACUACCGAUUGAAUGGUUUAGUGA
rnacentral:rRNA from 1 species